rnacentral:rRNA from 1 species
GGUUAAGCGACUAAGCGUACACGGUGGAUGCCCUGGCAGUCAGAGGCGAUGAAGGGCGUGCUAAUCUGCGAUAAGCGCCGGUAAGGUGAUAUGAACCGUUAUAACCGGCGAUACCCGAAUGGGGAAACCCAGUGUGACUCGUCACACUAUCAUUAACUGAAUCCAUAGGUUAAUGAGGCGAACCGGGGGAACUGAAACAUCUAAGUACCCCGAGGAAAAGAAAUCAACCGAGAUUCCCCCAGUAGCGGCGAGCGAACGGGGAGGAGCCCAGAGCCUGAAUCAGCAUGUGUGUUAGUGGAAGCGUCUGGAAAGGCGCGCGAUACAGGGUGACAGCCCCGUACACAAAAGCGCAUGUGCUGUGAGCUCGAUGAGUAGGGCGGGACACGUGGUAUCCUGUCUGAAUAUGGGGGGACCAUCCUCCAAGGCUAAAUACUCCUGACUGACCGAUAGUGAACCAGUACCGUGAGGGAAAGGCGAAAAGAACCCCGGCGAGGGGAGUGAAAAAGAACCUGAAACCGUGUACGUACAAGCAGUGGGAGCACAGGUUUACCUGUGUGACUGCGUACCUUUUGUAUAAUGGGUCAGCGACUUAUAUUCUGUAGCAAGGUUAACCGAAUAGGGGAGCCGGAGGGAAACCGAGUCUUAAUUGGGCGUUAAGUUGCAGGGUAUAGACCCGAAACCCGGUGAUCUAGCCAUGGGCAGGUUGAAGGUUGGGUAACACUAACUGGAGGACCGAACCGACUAAUGUUGAAAAAUUAGCGGAUGACCUGUGGCUGGGGGUGAAAGGCCAAUCAAACCGGGAGAUAGCUGGUUCUCCCCGAAAGCUAUUUAGGUAGCGCCUCGUGAAUUCAUCUCCGGGGGUAGAGCACUGUUUCGGCUAGGGGGCCAUCCCGGCUUACCAACCCGAUGCAAACUGCGAAUACCGGAGAAUGUUAUCACGGGAGACACACGGCGGGUGCUAACGUCCGUCGUGAAGAGGGAAACAACCCAGACCGCCAGCUAAGGUCCCAAAGUCAUGGUUAAGUGGGAAACGAUGUGGGAAGGCCCAGACAGCCAGGAUGUUGGCUUAGAAGCAGCCAUCAUUUAAAGAAAGCGUAAUAGCUCACUGGUCGAGUCGGCCUGCGCGGAAGAUGUAACGGGGCUAAACCAUGCACCGAAGCUGCGGCAGCGACACUGUGUGUUGUUGGGUAGGGGAGCGUUCUGUAAGCCUGUGAAGGUGUGUCGUGAGGC